AACUGCAAGAUCAUGACCUGAGCCGAAGUCAUACACUCAGCCGACUGAGCCACCCAGGCGCCCCAAGGGCUGUUGAGCUUUUAAACAGCCUUCGGAGAAAGAGGAGUUUCUAUGAGUGAGAUAUUAUUCUCCCUAUGAUGAAGACACUGCUUACCAAAUACUUGGGAACUUCUUCACAUUUCCAAGUUUUCUGUGGUUAGGUUUGAGCCGUGUGGCUGAUUUUCGUCAAUAGGCCGUGAGCAGAUGUGAGGGGCGCAUGUCCAAGGAGAAGCUCCAAGAGCCAACAUAUGGUUACUCCACUUUAUUAUUUUCUUCUGCCAUGAAACUGUUACGGUCCAGACACAGGUACUUUAUUCAUCCUGUGACCUGUCCUGAAGAUGCGGGCCACAGUUUCAGUGGACUCACAGUGAAAGGACAGCAAGGAACAAAUCACAGAUUUUGGCAUCAAUCGCCAGCAUGGCAUAACUCAGGAGACCAGGUAGAAGCUUGCAAGUCGUCCUAAGGUCAGGCUCUGAAUUGGUACCACGUCACUUCUACUAUACUCUAGUGACCAAAGAAUCCACAGGCCAGCUCGGAUUCAGUAGACAGGGGGAUGCGAGGGGGUGGGGGGUCAGUGUCAAAGAAUUUGUGGCCAUCUUUCAUCUGCCACGAUCUACUCUCUGGCCACCAAUAAGUUCCUCUUGCAUGAAAAAUGCUCAUUCUCUUCCAAGACCACCCACGUCUCAUCCCAUCACGGCACUGGUUCAAAUUCCAAGAGAUUAUCAUCCAGAUCAAGUCCUGGUAUGGGUGAGACUCUUUAGAUGUGAUACAGCUCCUUGAGUAUCUCAUUCCUCUUCAUCUGAAGAUCUACAAAUGAAAGAGCUAAGGCAUCUAUCUCCCAACAUACCCAACAUGCAAUAGAAAGACAGAGACAGGAAGACUAUAGCAGACACUAAAGGGGGGGAUAUGGGGCGCACACAGCAGUUGCUAGUCUAUAGCAAUUCUAAAAUCCAGCCAGAAACGUGUUGCUGGUUCCUUGACUCAAGUCCAGUUUUACUCCCUGGGAAUGAUUUCCCAUGGCUCUUGGCUACAUGCUCUGAGACCAUUCCAUUCCGUGAGAAAUCGAUCAGUUAUGCAACUGACUAGCCUUCUCAGCCUUCUUCCCGUGGAAAGUUGGAGAUCCAUCAUUUCGUGGUCUUUCUGCCCCUUUUACAAGAUGCCAGUACUGACACCAACUUAGUUCUCUUGAAUAUUAUGUGAAUUUCCUCUUAAUCUUUUUAGGCUUCACUCCAUUAGACGAAAACAACACUCAGAGAUGUUUUCGUGACAGGCUCUCUCUGGCUUCAUUUUAGAGUCUGAGUGCUGUGAGACUCUCUUAAGAUGCCUAGUUGAGGGAGACCGUGAGGGAUGCCCACAAAUCUUUCUGAAGAGGCAACAAAAAAAAUCUCAGUCUCAUCCUUGAGAUGAUCUUUGUCCUGAGGCCAUUUCUUGUCUCCAGACCUUUUUACCAUCUCGAGAGACUGGGAUUGAAAACUGGUUUUCGUUUUGAACCUAUGGAUUCUGACUCCCUUGUAUUUUCUCUCAAUUCUUACUGAAUUUGAAAAUUGAAGAGUUCCCUUUUUAAAAAAAAUUUUUUUUUAGGCCCUCUCUGUAUUUUCAUACAUGUAACUCAACAAAAUCAGCUGGCAGCGUUAAUAUUCUUCCUGGGAAUCCCUUAGCCAAAUCUAUAGGUUUCCUAUAUGUUUCCCGUUACCUCAGGUAACAUACUGCUUAUCUUGUCACUGUUAACGAUACACAUCCCCCUUUACUUCAGCCUCGGAUAACCAGCUCCUUACUGAACCCUAAGCUUUCACGAAGACUCCUCGAGAUUCUUCCUGCUGUUGUCUACAGCUCAGUCUGAAGGACGAUGUCACGUAUCUGUGUGUGUGUGUGUUUUAAUGGCAGCACCCUACUCUACAAGUACCAGUUUAUGAUGUCAUCAUUUAUUGGAUUACAAACCGCUUUUAGACUUAGAGGCCUGUAAGAACAAUCAAUUUGUGAUGCCGAUAAUUAUUUGAGUUUGAGAUUCAGUUAGGGCAUAACGGGGACUGUUAUUAUCUGUGUCUACUCUACAAUGCUUGGGACCUCAGUGGGCGAGGCUCAAAUGUCUGGAGAUGGCUAGAAUGGACUGGUCGGGACCCUACGUGGAAAGAUAACUCCCUCUUGGAUUCUUUCUGUCUCUCUUGCUCUGAGGCCAACUGCCCUGUCAUGAAACAGCCCUCCGGAGAGAGAAGCCAUGUCAGAAGAAUACUCAGCAGCCUACGGAGAGUCCCAUAUAGCGAGAAACUGAGGCUUGCUGCCACCGACGUGAGUGAUCUUGGUGGUGGAUAUCUGAGGCCUGCACGCGAGCACACGAGCGAGUCUGGAAGUAGAUUCUCCCUCGGUCAGAUCCUCACAUGACCAGAGCCCUGGCUCACAUCUCAACUGCGACCUCAUGACGGAUGCUGAACCACUCAGCAACUUCUGGAUUCCCGAUUGACGGAAACUGAGAGAAGAUAGUAUCUUAGAUGCGUGUGAGGCAAAACACGUUGUAGUUCGUGGGUUCACGGAUCGACGUCAUGAUUAAAUGGGCCCUUCGGGCCGACUGCCUUCGGGAGAGGAAGAGGGUUUUGUGUGUGUCUGACGUGGAAUGAGGGGAGGUGAAUAUUCAAGAAAACAGGGUGGACUGUGGAACAUAGUCUGCUAUUCACAACAUUUGCUUUUCCUUCCUCUGGGGGAGGAUUAUGCUUCUCCACUCCAUUGACACUGGGUAAAACUGUGCAACGUCCCUCGGCCAAUGAAACAUGAGCAGGAGCGGGGUGCGCCAUUUGGAGCGGGAAUUGGAUAGCCUCCCUGACAUUCUUCACCGUUGUCUUUCUUCCGUGCCAAGAGACGAGGGUUGCUUCCUCAGCCUUGCACCUGGAGUGAAGUAAAUGUACAGUAGCUGACUCAUAAAUGGACACGGAGUCUGAGCCAGAAAUCAAUCUCAGUUGCUGGACGCCAUUGAGAUUCCAAGGUCACUUGUCACCGCAGCAUUGCUUAACCUACGCUGACUCACGCAGUGACCCUCUGGUUCCCUCUUUUUCUGCAGCAACAAUCACAGGACCUGCCUGCCUGCCAUGAGUGGCUGUGUGCCUGUGGGGAGAAGAGCCCAUGGAGGCCUUCAGCAGAGUUGUGACAGGAGCAAUAAACCAACGUUUUCUCUGUUAAACAUCUAAGAUAUGGGAAUUAUGCUUAAAAAAAAAAAAAACUCCAGCAUAAAUAAACCUAUCCUAAUACACACC